rnacentral:lncRNA from 1 species
UUUUUUUUUUUUUUUUUUUUUGUCAACCCAGGAAUAUCCCAACUUUGUCGGACUAAUUUCCUGAACCUGGAGUACCCCGUCCCCCAAGAGCACCCAGGCGAUAUGUGAAGCCAGACUCGAACCGCGUCCCACGAGGAUUACCCCGAGGAUUCACCGGCUGAGCUGACCCUGACACUCCACCUGCCCCUUAUUCACUAUGUCCAAAAUAUAGCCCCUGUCCCUUAUUCUUUUUUAUUGGUGGGGGGGGGUGGGGGGGGAAUGAUCGGAAUUUUUAUUGUAGAAUCAAAACUGUCCCUUAUGCGCAAUUAUUGCACUAAACAUCGUUACUAACAAGCACAAUUAUUGCACCAAAUCGGAUGAAAGUUCAACCAAACGUCCCUUAUUAUUAUUAUUUUUUUCAACAGACGUCCCUGUCCCUUGUUCACAUGUCCAAAGUUCAACCCAAUCGGAAAACAUUCGUGUUAGGUUUGCAGUAAUAUACGAGGAGAUUAUUUCGUUUUGGCUUACGGUGGAAAGCGAACGCAUGAGAAAGCCAAUAAGUGCUUGGUGGGGCCGGGUAGAGGGAGGAAGCAUGCAAUUCACGUGGCUAAAAAAAAACUUUUGAUAUCAUAGGGGAGCCCUUUUGCAAAUUUAGUCAGGAUUUGGGGCAGGGACGGUCAUACUGAUGACCGUCCCUGCACGGUUCAUGGUCCAGAUUGGACCAUGAAAAAAUGUGCGGCUCACAUAACAAGUGGUAAUUCGAUUUUCGCGUCAAGUGUGGGGCCCACCACUAUGUGUUGUGAAAAUACAAUCUGUGAAAAAAAAGUUACACGGUGAACAAAAGAAGUUACGCGCUGUUGAUGAAGAGGGAAUUUGCCCUGCAACCGUCCCUGCCCUGAGUCCAUUUAGUCAUCAUAAAAUGGUCCAAUAAUUAGAGAUAUUUUUGGAAACUCUCCUGAUAGGUUGUCAGUAUCUGUGUAAUAAUAAAAAUAAGUCUAAUUGCCAAUUAAAGUAACCAGAACCCGAUUCUAAAUACUGGAGCAGGAACUCUAGAUGUGUAAUAGAUUACUUGAUUCACCAUAUUCCCGAAAAGUUUGCUUGAUCCGAUGUACCCGAAUGGGUGGCUUUUUCACAAGUACUUAUUAAUCUGUAAAUAGGGCAAGUAGGGUCGUAUCCUCAGAGAUUGAGGAUAAUUGUCUCUUUUUGAUGUUCAAAGUAACAAUGGAGGAUUUUUUUUAUAGCAAUGACAAUAAGUAAAUGGUUCGAAUAAAAAUAAAUAGUCAACAAAAGAUUAAAUGGCAAAUUACUAAAAUCAGAGUAAUAAUAACUAAAGGUCUAGCCAAGAAAUAACUUCAGCAAUGGUUCAACUAAUUGAUCAUCGAUGCAGAGAUAAUUCCAAUUAUUAACUAAUAAAUAGAUUAUAACUCUUAAACAAGCGAUGACAGUCAGCUCUUGCUUACUGUGUCGAUGACUGAGGUACGCUCGUCAAUCACUACCAUAAUUGAGAAAUAAUUUUAGGUACACCCAUAAGAUUUAAUUCCCCAAUUGCCUUACGUAUUAGAGGGACCUUAUUUUAACCAAAUAACACACUACCAGGGUUAUUUUAAAUUAGCCUGUGUAUUCUCCUGACACAAAUCUAAUCAUGUCAGUUGUCACUAUUUUAGAGCAAUUAAACAAUUACGGAUUUAACGCUCUAAUCGACAUCAGGUUACUAAAUUAAUUUAAUGUCCAGGCCUAGGAUAUUUAAUUAACAAAACAACCAUAAACAUUACAAAUAGAGAAAAUGCAAAUACGAAUAAGAGAAAUAAAUAAAAUUAAUCCGAUUUCAUAAAUUUUAGAUGAACCAAAACCUCCGUUAUUCCUUGAUUAGAAAAAAAAGGAUUUAGUUCAUCCCAUUGAGGAGAAACCACGCAAAAUUACAGAAUUAAUUGUUGCAUACAUCGUCUCUCCUUUAAGAUGACCAGUCCGUUGGAAUAAGGAAAAGAAAAGCAAAAACUACAAAGAAUGGCUAAUUGUUCCUUCUUGAGUCUCUGCCCAUACGAUGGAAAAGAAAGCUACCAAAAAAGUGUAAAAGUCAAUAGCCCAGGAGCCGUCAAAAUUGACGGCUAUUUUCUCUUUUUAUUUCCUAUCUCAUCUGCACUUCCUAUUCGGCUACCAAGAAGGAGUAAAAGGAAGACUCCUAGUCUCCCUUGACUUCCUCCGCUGCUGGCUCUCCAAAAGCUACCAAAAAGAUAGGAGUCCUGAUACCAAUUUGACUCCUUUCUUUGCACUUCCAAAUGAGAGUCAGAGUGUUGUGUGUCUUUCCUGAACCUUCUGCACAUGUUGAGAUCUGGGUUGACGCGACCACGCCAAGCAGUAUUUGCAAUACAAUUUUUGUAUUUUUUUAUCACAUUUUACUCCAACUCCCUGUGAUAAGCACAAAUACCAAAUAUAAGUAAGAUUUGACAAUUAAUUCACGUAUGAUAAAGUAACGGGGGAAAUUAAUUAUAAAAUAAAUAACAAAAUUACGACCUAUCAUCUCCAGAUAUGUGGGCCCCAACAAAAAUGAAAAUAAAAAAGUGAAUGGUACCAAAGAAACAUGAAAGAAAAAGAGGACUGGGUAUUAAGAAAACGGUGGACUUUUCAAAUAUAGUGUUGCAAUUUUGCACUUGAAACAAGAAAAAAUAAUGCCUCAUAAGUAUUGUAGAAGGAUAAGUUAAUUAAGUGGAGUGUAAAGAUAAUUGGAAGAACUGGAAAUUUAGAUGUGAUUAUAUUAUAUGACAAUUAGCAAAAGUAGUAAAUGUUAGUAUUGUUCGGUAAAAGUCAAUUCAGACUGUCGAAAAAAAAGACAUCGGCUUCUGUGGGGGAGUGAGGGUUCGAAUAAGUUCGGCUGAAAGAGUCCGUGUCAGCGGGUUCAAAAGAGUCCGAGGGCAGGCUCCCUUGUGGAGGUUUGAUAUCCCACAUCGGGGGUUGGGGUUGGGGUUUGUUGGGUUAUAAGUCCCUGGGACAUGCUCAAGAGUUGCCGGCUUUUGAGUACUGUUCUGGGAUUAGGUUUAUAAUUUCGGUAAAAGUCAAUUCAGACUGUCGAAAAAAAAAAAAAACAAAAGUGUAAUUAAAAAUUGGAUGAAAAUUAGAUUUUUGCAUAUGCGCAUGUUGGAGUUGAAGUCCCUGCAUAUUGUUUAAACGUAAGUAAUAAUAUUUUAUUGUAAUAAAAAUUAAAACAUAUUAUGUUAGUAAAUAAAUUUUUUAUCCAAAUAAACGGAAAAAGAAAAGAAUCAAAGAAAAUUCGUACCAUGACACAAUGAUGAUUGUGACAAGUGUCAACUAAUGAAAUAUUAGCCCCGGUUGUUAAAUGAAUUUUUUUGAGUGUUUGUCUAAAGUUUUAUUGUAAUUUAAUGUAGAAGUUGUAAGAAAAAUUUUUGAAGUGUGUAAAUUUUUGGGUAUUUUGAAGUGUAUAGUUUAAAAAUUUUGAGAAGUUUUUUGAGAUGACUGUGUAGUUAAAGUUGUUAAAAAACUUGUAGAAGACAAACUUGGCCAAAAACUUGUUUGCCAAACAUUGGAGUUAAAAAAAAGAUUUAGGUAUUAACAUGAGAAUUAGUUAGGCAACAACUGAAAAUUUUGCUUGAAUUUUCGGAAUAAGUAGAGAGAAUGAGAAGGACAAAAAAGCAAAAGAAAGUUAGUGGAUUCGCUUAAGGAUUAAUAUUCUAUAUUUUAUAUACUGACAACGUACACACUGUCAAUUUUGGAUAAAUGACAACUAUGCAAAAUUUAUAUUUGGAAUCGAACUUUUACACGUACGUCAUAAAUCCAACAGCAACGAUGUAUACAUUGUCAGUGAGUAUAGAAUUUAUUCUUCACUUAACAACCCAUGAAUAUUUUAGUUCCAAUCUGGAUUUAGAUUUAAAUGAGUCAUUCGAAUCCAUCAAAUCAAAACUCGCUAAAUAAAUAAGUCUAAGUAGCAAUGUAUAAGCAUAACAAAUAAUCCAAAAUUGAAUUUAGCUUGAAAAAAAUACACGUGACAUGCAUUUGGACUAGUAUAUCUACUUUCAAUAAAGAAAAUAUUAAACCUUUUUUGUACUAUCUAUACAAUAGAUAAAGUUAAAGAUUAGGAGGAUUAUCAUGUAGUGUUUGCACACGCUUAAUAUUUUCUAAACUUUCAUUUAUACCUUUAUUAUUAACAGUAUUUAAUUUUUCUUUAGAUAAAAAAUUAUGAUUUCAAGGGUAGUUGUGUCAAUUAAUUAAUUACACUCCCUCCUGUUUUAAAAUAUGAACUUAAAUUAUGUUAGUAAUUGGCCAAUUGAAAUUAAUUACCAAAAAAAUCACCAUAUCAUAAAUAUCCUUGACAAAAACUAAUUUUCAUGAAUAAUAUUUUUAGAAAAAAACCAUAAUUUUGAUUACUUGUGCACACCUAGAAAGUGUCUUACGCACUAAUAUGAUAUUAAGUACCAAUUGUUCGUUGACUUUUCUUUUUCUUUACUUGCAAUUGAUCAUUGAUUCAUUUUGCAUACUCUCAAAACAUUAAGGUUAAAAAAAAAUUAGUCAUAGUUUGAGGAUUGCAUCACAUAUUUCUUGAAUUUUCACAAAAAAUUUAUCUACACAAAUUUUACCAUCAACCAAGUUUAGCAUAAGUCAAUUUAUUUCAUGUACUUAGAAGGCAUUCGGUAAGUUGGUUCCUUAAGGAAUGAGUUUCAAAAUUGGGGGGAGGGUCGGGUUGGAUGGUACGGGGGGAGGGAGUGUAAGUGAGAGGUCUCGGAUUCGAGUCCUCCUGCUUACACUAAAAAUAUAUAUAUAUAAAAAACAAAAAAAAAGAGUUUCAAAAUUAUUCAUAGUGAUACUUAUCAUUUGAUUAAAGUUAACUAGAAUGACUUAAUAGAUAUCGUAGGCUCAUUUUGUGAUUGACUAUUAUUUUAAUAAGGAAUCAAUAUUUAUUCACCAAUGUAAUUGAUAUUUUUCAUUAAAAAUAAAAAGUUAACAAAUACUAGAAGAAAUUAAGAGAGUAAAGAAAAUUUAGAAAAAAAAGAUUAGGAAAAAGAAAAAAAUGUAGACCUAUAUGUAUAUUUUUAGUUAUAAAACACUCGAUGGGUUUCAACAAGAAAAUCCAUUACUAUUAACUAAUAAAUAAUACUUAGUGAAUGUAGGUGCAUUGUUAUUAUAAUAUAAUACUUAAGAAAGUUUACGUGACAAUAAAUCAUUAGGUGUUUAAAAAGCGUUAAAUCAAGGUGAACUUGAUAUACUUUAAACUCUUUAGAGAAAUAGAUAGAAGACAUACACUUCAUGAUAAUGUGGAACAAAUGGGAUCUAACACUAGAUUAAACUAAGUUAAUGAAUUUUGUACAUGCUAAAUAAAAAUGUCUUCCGAGUUCCCAAAAGGAUAAAGAUGCCACAAUAAAAUAAUUGGGAAUGUUGCAUUGGGUCAAGAAGAUCUCACGGAUGUUAGAACCGAAGACAGCAAAGUGGCAUCUUUAUUCCUUCUCCAUAACAGGCUCUAUUUUAGGGAAGUUCCAAAAAAUAAAAAUUGGUGGCUACCGCCAAAGCAUUAAAUCUUGAUGGGGUUGCCUCCCACCAAUUUGUCAUAAUUAAGUGUGGCCUUGUUUAAAAAAUUCAGGCGGGUAUUUAGUGUACCCGUUUGAUCCGGUGAUGGUUCAGUCCCCUUCGAAUUAUCUUUGGAUCUCUUCAGGUUCUUCCCCUCCAGUGUAGUAAGCUAUGUAUUGACAAAAAAAACAAAAAAAAAAAAAAGAAAGAAGACAGGCCCUAUUUUAGGGAAGUUCCAAAAAACAAAACUGUGGGCCCCUUGCUCAUUACCGAUUCUAGCCUGUCUAGAACUUCCUCUAUUACAGAGAAAUUGACAUAAAGAGCACUUUGCCCGAGCUACAAUUUUCAUUUUUGUCUAUCAUUUGCCCACUUAGUUGUGUUGUUCUAUUCCUGUUACUUUUUCCCACCGUGCAAAGAUGACUCAGCUUUGCACCAUAGAAGCAAUUAUUUAUUGGUGGGACGAUUUUUUUCUUUUUCUUUUUGUAUUUAAAUAUCAAAAGAAAAAAAGAAACCUAGGGCUGUUUCUCCAAAUUAGCCUCUGUCAUUGAAAACAAAGGUUAAAGGGAUAAAUAAACAUGUGAAGUUAUCUUCUCUUUUCAUUGUGUUUUAGUUGUAGUAAAUAAAAUCUAAUGUGAAAGAAUCCAUUGCUUUCUUAGUGAUUAUCAUUGAAUAAAACACUUGGAAUAGCUAAGGGCAUUCUUAGUUCUGCGUUGAACUGGUAGAAGAGAUGCAAGAAACUGGAAGCAUAAAGAUACUGCAUGCUACUGUAUUUCUUUCAGCAUGCAGCAUGUGUGAGACCUGAAAAUUAUUUUAUAUUUUUUUUUAUUUUUGAAAAAAUUAAUUUAUAUUUUUUAUUUUAAGUCAAGAUUAAGUCAAGAUUUUUCUCUUUGUUCUUUUAUAAUUUGGUGCAUGUUAAGUUUCGUAGAAUAUUAUGAUAGAUUGACUGAUUAGUGAGGUGUGCGUAUUAUAUUUGGUGGACAAAAAUGAGCGUGGUGCUAGAGGAACUAUGUGAUUAGAAUUGUUAAUAGUGUAUUAGAUGAAUACAAGGUAGAUUGGUUAUUAGAGACACAAGAAAAACAAAGAUAUAGGAAUGGAACCAUACAGUGCCAAGUGUCAACGCUUGAAGCUUUCAUAGACGAAGACUUUUCUCUAGUCUUUCUCUUGCAUUUUAACAAAAAAUUUCUUCAUUUUUUCUUGCUCUUGGUCGAAAUUAAGAGAGGGAAAUAGGAGAGAAAAACUUCCAAAGUUCAUCUUGAUUUCCUUGCUUGAUUUGUGAAGAAUCCAAAGACCAACCUUAAUUCACUCCAAUAAACCUUUAGUUAAGCUUGGAGGUGAGCCUUUGAUGGAGUUAUUUGAUGAAGAGAACUCUUGAGUUGCUUGUCACUUGGGAUUUUGAGGUAAAUUUUCUAGAUAACAUCUCUUUUUACUUGUUUCUUGAGAUUUAUGCAAGAUAUGUUAUGAUUGAAGUUAAAGGAAGUAUGUUUAUGGUAAUUUCAUGGUUUUGCUAGGGUUUGAUGAAGUUGUUGCUAGGGUUUGGUCAAUUUCCAACUUUAAUGUUCCAUUUUCUAACUUUGAGAUAAAUUUCCAGCUUUCAUAAGAGAUAUCCUAGCUUUGAUAUAAAAUUUUAAAUUUUGAUAUGUGAAUUUUAGUCUUGGUAUGCAAAUUUCCAGUUUUGAGAGGUAAAAUUCCAACCUUGAUGUAGUUACUUGACGCUUUAUAUAUAUGUGGAGUUGUGAUGGAUUUUCUUGCCAAGAAUAUAUGUCAUAAGCCUCAUGACAUGUUAGUUGUAAGAUAUAGUGCAUUUGCCAUGGAAUUAAGUAAGCAAGUUGGGAAUUUUGAAGGAGAUUUUUGCUGGAAAAUUUCUGUUGUGGCUGGCCAAGAAGGAGAGAAGGAAUUGCAGCUUUCUUUUCAGAAAUUUUGUGGUAAUUUUGAUAUAGUCUUGUUCAAGACAUUUGUUAAAACCUUGCUCUUCAUAUGUAUGUUGAUUUUGAGCCAAAACAAAGAGGUUUAAAAGGAGAAAAACCUCAAACUAUUUGCUUGCCAGAAUUUUCACAGGAGGCUCUGCGCAAUUUUGGAAAAUUUGCUAUAACUUCAUUAGAAAAGUUAGAAUUGAAUUCCAUUUGUUACGAAACUAGACUCAUAGAUCUUCCAACAGUAUAAAAUUCAGGGUUUGGUUCAAUUUCUCUAAAUACUAGCGAAUCAACAAAGUUUCUUAAAAAUCAUGAUUGUUCUAUUUCUGCACUUGUGAUAGUAGUGAGUUUUAAACUGAAAUUUGACUAAUCUAUGAGGUGAAUUUCAUGAAGGUGUCUUCUAAAGUCUGUUAGUGCUUCGAGUCUAUUUUCUAACAGUGUAAGUUUUAUGAUUUUUUGACUUACAGAACUCAAAUUAUAUCUUUUCAAAGAAUAUCACUAAAGUUGGGAAUUUUAUCAAAUGGAUUGAGUGGGACUUGAAAAACUUUAGAAAAACUUUUCUGGGUUUUAAACCUGACAUUCUUUGGUUAAAUCCUGUAUAUUUUCAUUUGAAAUAUUUAGUCUGUUAACCUUAGCAUGCAUGAAUAUUUCACUUGAUUUGAACUUGAUAAGAACUUGAUUUAAAUAAGGAACCAUGGCCCUUCUGGUCUUUUAAUAUUAGGGUUAAACCUGUAACUUCUGUGGUUGCUAAGUGAAGUUUCGAAUCUCAUAUUUUCUCAUCAUCUUGACUUUAAGUGACUAAACUCUUGAUGGAUUACAUGAUCACAUGACUUGAAAGUGUCCAAGAGGACGAACCAAGGUUGAAGUGAAACGAUGGUGAUCAAGUGGUAAGUGUUCCUUGCAUGUUUGUGCUUUAAAUGACUAAGUGGAAUGUUGUGUAUGUGUUUGAGUAUUAAAUGCUUUCCAAUGAUUGUUAAAUGGAUUUUUAAUGGGUGAGUGUAUACUUUAUCGCACUUGACCUAAGUAAAAAUGGGUUUUCAAUGAUCAACUGAUUGAACAUUAUUUAUGCAUGAAUGUAAGUCAUGCGGUACUGUACUGUACCGUACCGUAUUGAUUGGAUUAAACCCUUGCCCUUCGUCGCUAGCCUAUUCGAGCCAGAAGCAGAUUCGGUCGGGUAGGUUGGUGACCUUGGGCCACUGUUUUGGUAUACUCGAGCAUGACCAUGAAGUCUGGUGGAGUACUGGCUAGUGAAUGAAAUGACUGACUGAAUGAAAUGAUCACUGUUAGAGUUUUAUUUUCAAAUAUUUUCACAUGUCGGAGGUAUAAGGGAGAAAUAGUUGGAGACUGAAUGACUAAAUAAAUGAAUGACUCCAAAUAAGCACGUAUCCUUCUACUGAAUGUGUUAUUAUUAUUUGAAUGCUUCAAAUGUUUUCCUUGGUUGGUUAUUGCUAAAUGUAAUAUGUUCGUGAUUUAUUGCUUGAAUGCUUGUUUGGAAAUCUCAUUGGACUUUUAGCUCAUUUUUGUUUAUUUUCCUUACAGGAGUGGAGGUUCAGAACAAAUAAGCAUGAACUAGAGUGUAUAACCCUCUUGUACUUGUACUUUGGUAGAUAAAAUAUAUUUUAAAUAUUUGAUGUUGUAUCUUACAUUUCACUUUUGGUUUGUAAUUAAACUUGAAUCAAUGGUUGAAUUAUAAAACUUAAAUGUUAUUUUGGAUGUCUGAACGGUUAUUUUGAUAAUUGAUUGAAGUGAAUGUAGUGAGUCCUGGCGAGAAUUGGGCAGGAAUUCUGCCAAACCAUUGGAUACACCAUAGGGGAAGGUGGGAUCGUCACAGCAUACAAAUGAAGGAGCAAAGUGAGGAAGUAAAUAUUAAUUGUUUUCCAGCAUUGAAUUUGUCUACAACUACAAUUUUGGCUGUGCUGUAAUGACAAUGAGCUACCCACUUCAGGGGUUAGGAGCCUUUCCAAUUACUACGAUGAGGGUCUACAAUCAGUGGAGACAACGACAGACACAAAAGGGGUGGCCAGGGCAGCCAUCUUCAAAAUUUUCCAAAAUGCUAUAUGGAGCAUUAGAUUUAAGUUUUUUUUUAAGAUUAGUUAACACAUCUACCUCCUUUAAUUUCUCUUUGAAAACAUGUUUUGUAAUACCUCACUAUAGUUUCCUUAUAUAUAUAUAUAUAUUAAAUUUCAUUAUAACUUUAAUGUAUUUAGUAUAUCCUUACAUUAGUUUGUUAGGGUGGUUAUUUAUAUUUAACCUUUGGUGAAAACCAUCACAGAUUAAACCCAAAAUCAAUACGGCAAUUAUUAAGAAAUAAAUUACUGAUAAAAUUGCGGAAGCGUACCUGGAUUCAUAUCGACAAACUGAUAUAUGAAUCUCUAAGGGUAUUGGGGUGGUCUUCCAGGUCUACACGUAUUCGCCGAUCCUUGAGAGACUCCUUUAGUAUCUCUCUGGUAUUUUUCCUGACGAUGGGAUAUCAGGAAAUGGCCAAUUUUGUGAUACUAGAAAAUACGAUAAAAUAAAAAUACGUGUGACCUGGGGACCAUGACCCUAUUUAUAGGUAACAUUCUUGUUAUCCUUUGGAACCCUAUUUCAGCCCAUCAUAGAAAUAGAAACCCUUAAGUCUCUACACAUUAAAGGCCCACACCCUAUUAGACACAUUAAGUCCAAACUAUAUUUGAUCACUUUAAUUGGGUUUAAUCUUAAUUGACAAUUUGCAAUAAAUAAUUAUUUACAUAUAAGUCCAAUGUUGGAUUAAGGAUCCAACAUAGUUAAGGUAAGAAAACAAAUAAUUGAUAAAUAAAAGGAAAUUCAACCAUGUUUAGAAUUAUAUUUAUAUGUAAUCAACUUGAUGCACUAGUCAAAAACCAAUACCCAAUGAUUCAAUCAGGUCAAAAAGUAACAUCCAAAGGAACAAGCAAGUAUUUAUCUUUCCUUCAAGAAAAGUCUAAUUUUUUCUCCUUUACAAUUGUAUUAUAUUUUGAUUCACAAUCAUUAAUUUAUGACUUAGAUUUUUUUUAUGAUUAUUAAUUUAUCAGCUGUUCUUAUCUUAAAUUUGUAUCUUUGAAUUUUUGUGUUAAUUUGUAUAGGGUUAAUGUCUAUUCAUUGAAUUUAGUUAAUAUUUAUGUGAUUUUGUUUCAUAAGUUAGUUUUCGUGUUUUACUUUAUGCUUUUGUCUCUUAUUAUUAAAAACAUUUAGUUGUUAGUUAUCGUUUAUUAAACUUUAGUUUUAAGACUUUGAUUUCAAGUUAGUAUUCAUCAUUUGUUUUGAUAAUAUUUUGUUACUUAGUGUUUGAUCAUUUGCUUCCUUUAAACCAAAAUUCUGCGUGCGUCCCUGAGUGGAGUCAUGACUUAUUGCUUAUAAACUUAAUAUGAUGUUAUUAAUAUACAAAGUAGAAACUUUAUUUACGAUUACGUUUUUUUUAUUGCGAGUAUUCUUUUGCAUUUAAAUUUUAAGUCAUUUUAGUAGUAACUAAGUUUGUGUUGUAAUAGCUCCAAAAUAAUUGUAUCAUAGUAGAGACAUCUAGAAGGUAAUGUGAGGUAAGUUGGGAAUUUAUCAUAAUAUCGAGGGCAAUGUUAAAGGAAAAAGACAUUUUCUAAAUUUCAGGGGAGACAACUAUAAUUAAAUUUGUAAAAAUUUGUAACUGUUUUUCCACCUAAUCUUUAAAAUUUGCAAAGUUGAACGGGGCAGUUGUCAACUCUCGCAAAGCAUGGCUCCGUCCUUAUCUACAAUACGUAUGCUACAACAAAAAAUGUACACUCUAGUGACAAACGUUUGGCACUUACUUGAAUCAUUCCUAUAUAAAAAGUAUGACGAGACUUGCUAACAGGAAGUGUGAGAAUGUGAGCAUAUUUUGAUCUUAGUUUUUGCAACUAAAUUACCCUUAUAUUCUUUAAUUAGAGUUAUUACACACCUUUUAAUGAGAGUUAUUGCAUUUUAAUCAUGAUACUAAUAAGAAAAAAAUAAAAAAAAAUUACAUCUCAAAAAUGUUGGUAAUUAAGAUUAAAAACUACCCAUCUACAACUAUAUUCACCAAUCAUAUCCCUCAUUUCCAAUUAUUGUAUGUAUUAAAAUUAUCUCCAAUUAUUAUAUAAUUAAGUAUGAUAAUUAAAGUUAACUAUAUUUUAUAUAUGUAUUGGUUUAGAAGAAAAUUAUGAUUAAUGAGAAGACAAAAUGUCAUAAACAAUCAAUGGAAAAAUAAAAUGUUAAUUGAUGAUUAAAUUCACUACAUUAUAUCAUAUUAAUUAAGAAAACUCCCAAAAAAAUUUAUUGAUAAUUAUAAAAAAUUACAACAUAAAAGGCUUACAACUACUGAAAUUGAUAAAAAUUUGUUGUAUCCAAAUCAGAAUGUUUUAGUAACUAUUUUGCUCAAGUUUUGUUGCAUGCACUGGUUUGAGAUGGCAUAGAGAAUUUCCCCUGUUUACUGUCACAAUCCAAAUAAAAUAUGCAACAACUUAAUUUAGAUACGAUAAUAUUCCAUUUUAAGAGUUUUCAUAAUUGUAAUAUGCACAAUAAAGUUUUAAUUGCUUUGUAUAUAAUAAGCAUUUUGUGCAACUGGCAAUUGCUUAAUUUGUUUAUUAUAUGGCUUCUUAGUCAAUAUUAUACCAGCAAUUUAGUUUAAAUAUGAUAAUCUUCCAUUUUCUAAGUUUUAAUAAAUGUAGAAUGCACAAUAAACUUCUAAUUACUUUGUAUACAAUAAAUGCAUUGUACAACUACCAAUUGCUUAAUUUUAUUCAAUAUAUAGUUUCUCAGUUUAUAUUCAUAACAACAAUCAAAGUUUUACACAGAAAUUUAGUCUAUUAAAGGUUUUAUAUCUUGAAAAGAUGUAUUUAAGUGCAAAACACGUGAGUUAUUACUAGUAUUAAUAAAGUUGUAGAGCAUCAACAAAUUUUACUUAACUAACUACUCCUAAAAUGGUCAGCCACCAAGAGAGAUUUAAAGCUCUAUUUGGGUGUAGGUCAAAAGAUCAAAUCACUUGGUUUGCAUUCUAAUAUCCAAACUUUCCUGAAAAUAUUUCGCCACGCGCGUAGUCUUGACAUGUGGUGGUUCACCAGGUUUCUCUUGACUUCUUCAGGUCCCCCUUCUCCUAAUGUAGAGUAUUCUAGUUGUUUCCCUUGGUCUCUUUAGAUCCCUCAUCCUUUAGCGCCUCCUCUUUUAGCAUAGAGUACUCUAGUUGUAAAAUAGAAUUUAUCGUGUCGAAAAAAAAUAAAUUCUAUUUAUUUUUUUAGAAAAUUAUGUUAUCAAACGCAAGUAAAAUAAUUUAUUUCACAAAUUUCAAUCACUUUUUAUCUUUCCAAUCACUUUUUCAUCUCACAUAAAUUACAUCACAAAAAGUGCUACAAUAAUUAUCUCAAAUAAAUCAUCCAAAUAAACUCAUAUCCAAACAAACUCAAUACUAUUGAACAAAAGUAAAAUGUACGGUAAACUCAUAGAGGCCCCACAUCGGCUGUCCCCGAGUUCACCCGGUAGCCCUCAUGACAGGCCCUCAUCGACCUCUCCGGCUCUCCCCACCUCACCCUGAUAGCCCAAUUGCCAUGGCGCACCUGGUCUCUAGUCACUAAUUUCAGUCAGCCUGUAACAUGAACCAAAUUCUACUUGGCCUGACAGAGACAUUUACCCUUCCAUUGAUGUUGGGUGCCAAAGGCAUAUACCUUGAGAGGGGAAGAUGCUUGAACCAAGGACUUGCACUUACUAGGAGUGAUUCUAUUUCAAGAUCUCUCAGAAGAACCUUUCAAUUUAGCAGCUAAAAUUACAGCAAACAUUGAUGAGUGAAGAGGUGACUUUCGGAUCAACCGGCGGUACCAAAAGGCGGGAAUGAUCUCCUGGUGUGUGUACGGCCUCACGGAAGUCGCCUGCUCAAAUUAUCAGAGGUGGGGCUGGAUCUCCCGAUUUUCCGCUGACGAUCUAGUUAGUUUUGAUUGGGAUGGAAAUUAGCAAGAAUUUCCAGAGAGUAGUUCUUACCAGGUAUCUUUUCUUGUGUGUUUUCUGACUGAAAUUCCCGUAUUUACACGGGACAAUUGGGAGGAAUGAACAAUUGGGAGGAAUGACAGUAAGAUUCAACUUUCUAGGACCUGACAGAUUGAGCAUGUCAGUCUGUCUUGAUGGAUCCGUGUUAGGACAGGCCUUUUCAGACGUCCCGUCUCUCUGCAGAUGUCAGUCUGUGAUCUGAUUUCAACGGUCCCAUCAGGCACAGUAGAACUUCAUGAUAGUCACCGUGGUGGCCGAGGUGAUCGAGAUGAAUAGUGGAAACUCAGGUGUGUGACUCACCUCGGUAUGGUAGGCCGAGGUGAGAACAAGCAAAGCCUUGUUAUUGAGAGGGAGCCGGCUUAAAGGAGCCGAGGCAUUUAAGCUGAGCUGAAAUGACCACCUUCAAUGAGUAUUCAUGUCUUGUGGUACCAUUCUAUCUUGUAUCCAUUUGAUUUGCAACUAGAUGGGCAAAAAAAUAUCAUGGAACAUUGCUGCUGUAUAGUGAAGAGGUGAUUUCUGUGUUGCUGAGGUGAGCCCUUCGAACUGGAGAAAUGUUCUGGACGUGGCGUGGCGAUCACCUCAGCUAAGUCACCUGCUAAAGUUAUGAGGGGGGUCUGAAUCCCCCGGUAUAACUCCGACGCUUAAGUCAGUUCGGCUAUAGAGUAGCAAAAAAGUAAUGGGUGAAGUUAGAGUGGUUUUACCAGAAAUUGAUCAUCCCCCCUCUUGGUAGAUACGCUGGGUAUUUAUAGGGGAUUUGUUGGGAAGAGGGACUGGCAGCACGGGUCCCUAGAGAUCGGAGAUGGUCAGUGCAUCUGGUGGAUUUGACUGGCCUUUAUGAAAAGGUUUGAUUGGACACGCCGCCAGGUUCAGGCGGCGUGUGUCAGACCAGCUGUCCAUCAUACGUCAGGCAUAUCAGGAAUCAUUUCCUAUCUUUUGUAGGUGUCCAUUAGUCAGCUGUCACCUCAGCUAAUGGCCUAGAGAUUACAGCCGAGGUGGCACGCAGGGUACGAUCACCUCGAUAAGUAACGGGCCGAGGUGGAGCCUCAGGAGGUAUCAAAGUAUGAGGCCUCGGAUUAUCUGGGCUGAAAUGAUCAUCCUCACCAAGCCCCCCAAGCCUCGAGAAGGGCGAGGUCGUGGUUUCCCGAGGCCGUUCCUUCCCGAAGCUAACGUCGUAUAGAACACGCAACACAGCAAGGACACGUCAGGACUAUAUGGAUGGGACUGAGAGAGGGGUGAAAUGAUGGCUGUCAGUUAUAACGUCGGAUCCGUAAAAUCAACUGUCAGAUGAACAGUAUCUUCAUUAAUAAGGAGAGAGAGGGGUGCUCUAGGGAAGCUCAAAGGUGCCGCCUUUUCGGUUUCCCCCAGUUGCCUAUAAAUAGGGGCCCUUUUAACCGUCUCAUUCUUCACCAAAAAUCUUGAAUCACCUCAGAGCCCUGUUCCUGCGCUUUUUCACUUCGGCAAUUUCUAAAACAGUUUAUUCAAACUAAGUUUACUUCUUUUUCUUUUGCAAUAAUGGUUAGAACGGCUCGUACACACAAGGAGACGGUAAGGCCCGACUUUACCGAGGCAGAGAGGCCUGACCCCUCUGAAGAGAAGACGGCUUCCGACGUCGGGGAAGGAGGUGCGGAGACAUCUCACCGAGCUGGGACAUCUGCGGGGCAGCCUGAGGAGAUCGAGGCCGAGAUCCUGUACAAAGAUGACCUCGGGAAUGAGAUCCGUAUGGAUGAGGGCGUACAAGAGCCGUCUACUCCUCCGAACGUUGAUGCUCUUAAUUAUGGCCAGAUGCCAGCCUUCAGCAGUGUCAUGGAGCAAGCAUCGGUAGCCGAGGUGGUGCGCAAAUAUCCCUGGAGAAGGGACUACAGCAUUUAUCUGCCCCGGCCACACCAGUCAGCCGCGCUACCACCGAAGGGCAGGGUAGCCAUUUACGUGGACCAACUGGAGGCCGGGUUCAGAGUACCAACGACAAGAUUUCUUCGAGACUGCUUGAGGUAUUGGGGGGUGAGAAUCACCCAGCUCACCCCUAAUGCAAUUCGAGUCCUCGUCGAUUUUCAGUUGCUCUGCCGACACCAAAAGAUAGAGCCGACUGUCAACCUCUUCCGCCGAUGCUACUCGCUGAAGAACAGCGGGAGCGAGAAGGGUUGGUUCUACUUCGGGAACAAAGUCCCGAAGUUGGUGGUGGAUGCUCCGAGCUCAAUAAAUGAGUGGAAAAGAAAUUUCUUCUUCGUUCCGGCAGAGGACUUUCCCAGGGAAUUCUGGUGGAGACCACCCACCUCGGUCAAAGAGACGUCCCCGGGCAAGUUGGAGGAGCGCAACUUUCAGAAAUUAACGGGGUCAGGUCUCAGAAUUAACUGUUGGGACUUUUCCGAAGUUGUGCUUGUAAAAGACGGGAUCAGCCGAGCACUGAUCAGCUCGAAUCACCCCGUUUUCUUCUCUACUAGGCUCCAAAAACCUUGUACUUUUCCAUUUCCCCUUUUUUGUUUUUCCUUCUUAAAUUCUAACUAACUUUUCUUCAUCCUUUGCAGUAGUGAAGGUUUCUGACUUGAUAAUUUCGGGAAACGUCGAAGUGGUGAAGAGGGCAACCAAAAAGCGUAAGGAUGCUGUUGAGCCCUCUACCAGGCCGACCAAGAAGACCACCGCAGCGACGGGCGACCGCGAACCUGCCGUGGUGAUCGUGGGCGAGAGCUCACACACCUCGGUCACUCCAGGAGGUUCCCGAGCCUCGGCGAUUUCUGUGAGAAUCCCUUCUCGUGGGGUCACGAUUGCCACUCCACCUCGGGGUCAGGGCGUGACCGUAUUCCUGGAUAACCCCGUCACGGGGUCAUCUUUGUUCAACCUCCACCACGUGCCUUCCAAAGCGGCCGAGGAGGACAAAAGGCACCCCGGAGCGCAUUGGUGUCCGGAGUGGGAAAUUAACGUCAACAACCGCUGCAUGAACCCUCUGGUCGCUCAGGAACUUUUGGUGCAUUCGGUGUUGCCGCGAGAUAGCACUUAUGCCAGAAAGCUCACCCCAGGGGAGCUAAUGCAAAGUGCCUCGAUCUCAUGGGCUUCCACCACGGCCUUCUUUGCCGAGAUGAUCCAACGUUAUGGAAAACUCAUGGAAAACUAUGAGCCUCCUGCUGAGCUCCAGAAGAAAAUUGCCGACCUGGAAGAAAAGCUGAAGGCAACCGAGCUGAAGCGCGACAAGGCCGAGGCGGCUAAGAAGAAGGCCGAAGUCGCGAACAAUUCCCUGGUGACUGCUCUUGAUGAGGAGAGAGAAAGAAUGGCCUAGGAAGAACAGUCGACCAAGGAGGCCAUAGACAAGGCCGGGGUCACUGCCGUGGAAGCCUUCCGGACGUCGGAGUCUUCCACCCAUGACCUCGGCGAGCUCACCCUGCCGAGUUUCAUGUUCGGCUAUACGUCGGCCAUUAACGAUGCGACGUCCUUUCUUUCUUCUGAGCAGCUGGGGUCCCUUCAAAGCGCUCCACACUAUAAUGAGGAUGCCAAGGAACUGUGCGACCGGAUGGUUGAGGGUAUCCAAGCUGGAAAAGACCUAGCCGAUAUCCGUGCCGAAUUCAACAAGUGGUUCCAGGAGUUUGAGUUGGAUGGUGACAGCGCUGAAGGGGGCCACGCCGGCGGAGGAGCUGAAGGGCAGCAGGAAGCCGAGGCGGGCGGAGGAACUACGGGAGGACAGGGCUCCGGGGCAGGGAAUGCUUAGAAGCAUCCCUUUUUUGUAAUUAGGGCCGAGGUCAUGGGUAGCCGACCUCGGUCCUCCAUCUUCCGUACUUCAAUAAAAUUGAUUUCAUAUUUUUGCAUUCUUUCUAAUUGAGUUCAGUUUUCUUCUCUUGACUACUGUUUUGUCCCCUUAUUUUUCGCUUGUAAUGGAAUGAAACUAAAUGAGAAAUAACUUAAAACUUAGGAUUGAAAGUACGUACCCUUCAAGGGUAAUACAAUUUGAGAUUUUCGGCAUGUCAAAUUCGGGGCACCCGAGACCCAUCUCGGUAGGCCAAUUUACAAUAUCCAUUUUGGCUGGACUCGACAACACGGUAGGUCCCUCCCACUUGGGAUUUAAUUUUCCCUGAGGUUCAGCUCAGCUGACUGAGUUCUUCCGGAGAACAAGGUUUUCCGGAUUGAAUCGCAAGUGCUUGACCCGGGCAUUGUAGUAGCCAGCUAAGAUAUUUUAUAAAUGGCGACCUUGGCUGCGGCCAUAUCGCGCUUCUUUUCGGCAAGGUCGAGGUUAACUCGCCGUUUCUCUUCGUUGAUCUCGGCAGUGUAUGCAGCCAUUCGUGGGCUGGGAGUGAUGAAUUCGGUGGGGACGACAGCCUCGGACCCAUAAGUUAAGGAAAACGGGGUCUCUUGGGUUGCUGACCUCGGCGUAGUCCGGUAGGACCACAGCACGCUGGGGAGCUCUUCCAUCCAGGAUAAUCCUGCCUGGUCUUGAGGCCAUGGAGGAGAGUUCGGUUGAAGUUUUCAGCUUGUCCAUUUGCCUGAGGGUGUCCAAUCGAGGUGAAAUGCUGCUUAAUCCCCAAGUUUUCACACCAUGCCUUGAAAAGAUUAUCCGCGAACUGCCUGCCAUUAUUCGAGAUGACCACCCGGGGCAGGCCGAAACGACAGACCACACUUUUUCAAAAGAAUUUUUGAACAGCCGCCCCGGUGAUGCUUCUCAGAGGCUCGGCCUCAACCCAUUUGGUGAAAUAGUCCACGGCCACCACCACGUAAGCAUAAUUACCUGGAACCCUGGGGAAUGAGCCAAUGAUAUCAGUUCCCCGCUGCUCGAAGGGUCAUGGCGAGGUGAUAGGGAUCAUAAGAUUGGUCGGUUGGUGGUGCUCGGGGGUAUGAUGCUGGCAAGAGGGACAGCUAAGGACCAUGACCUGGGCAUCUACCCUCAUGGUGGGUCAGAAAUAUCCGAGCAGUAAGGCUUUUUUAACUAGCAUCCUAUAGCCAACGUGAGCACCACAAAAUCCUUCAUGAAUGUCUUGCAGGAUCCUCUCACCUUCUUUCGGCGUAAUACACCGAAGCCAAGGGCCGAGGUAUGACCUCUUGUACAGGUAGUUGUCCCGAACAGCAUACCGAGCUGCCUUACGUGGCAGUUUCUUGGACUCAGCUCGGUCCUCUGGAAGUUCACCCCGGCUAAAAAAUCGAACCAGCGGUCCCAUCCAGGUGUCCCCUGGGUAGAUGGGGUAUACGACCUCCCCAAUAUAUCCCGAUUCGACCAAGACUUCCACGAGAACCGUCUUGUUCAAAUCAGAAAACGAAGUGGACGCAAGCCGGGAGAGGGCAUCAGCCCUUCUGUUCUGAGACCGCGGUAUCCUUUGGAUUUCGAAGGACUCGAAAUGCGUCACCAACUGGAGGACUUUAGAGAGGUAGCGGUGUAUCACCUCUUCUCUGGCCUCGUAUUCACCCAGUAUUUGGCACACAACGAGUUGGGAGUCGCUAUAGACCAAGAUAUGCGCGGCCCCGAGCUUACGAGCUAGCUGCAGGCCGCCGAUGAUCGCUUCGUAUUCGGCCUCAUUAUUAGAGGCAGCGAAGUCAAAUCUUAAGGCAUAUGAGCACACUUCUCCUUGGGGGUUUUCAAGGAGCAAGCCUGCUCCACUAUCCUCACUAUUGGACGAGCCGUCUACAUGCAAGACCCAUCGUUGCAGUUCGGCGGGAGCUAGAGUAGUAUCUUGAGUGGUCUUAUUCACCUCAUCGAAGGUGAGUUCGGCUAGGAAGUCUGCAAGAGCCUGAGCUUUAAUUACCGUGCGAGGUUCAAAAGAUAGGUCAUACUCUCCCAGUUCAAUGGCCCACUUAGUGAGGCGUCCAGAAGUCUCAGGCCGUGAUAAGACUUGCCGGAGUGGUUGGUCAGUUCUUAGGCAAACGUGGUGGGCUAAGAAGUAGGGCUUGAGCAUUUGAGCUGCAUGGAUUAAGGCCAGCACGAGCUUCUCCGCCGGAGUGUAUCUGGUCUCUGGACUUCGGAGGACUCGGUUGACAUAGUAGACAGGCAUUUGUACUCCUUCCUCCCUUAUUAGCACGGCACUUAUAGUUUCGACCGCAGCAGAUAAGUACAAGAAUAACUUGUCCCCUGGACGAUGUGAGGUGAGUGUUGGGAGGUGGUGAAGGUAUUCCUUCAAUUGUUCGAAGGCCUGUUGGCAUUUCUCAAUCCAAGAGAAGCUAUCUGCCUUCUUUAGUACCUUGAAGAAGGGCAACGCCUUAGAAGCUGACUGCGAUAAAAAUCGGUUCAGGGCUGCUAACCGCCCGAUGAGCCUCUGGACAUCACGGAUGCACCGAGGUGGAGACAUCUCUUGAAUUGCUCUCACCUUAUCCGGGUUCGCUUCUAUGCCCCGCCGGGAGAUGAGGUAGCCCAAAAAUUUCCCCGAAAUGACCCCAAAGACACAUUUCUUGGGGUUCAACAUCAUUCGCGUCUUCCGGAGGACCUCGAGGACCUCUUUUAGGUCGGAAAGAAACGUGGAGGUCGUUAGGAUUUUAAGAAGGAUAUCAUCUACAUAGGCCUCAACAUUUCUGCCGAUCUGAGAUUUGAAUGCUUGGUUGACCAAGCGUUGAUACGUGACUCCGACAUUCUUUAGUCCGAAAGGCAUGGUAGUGUAGCAAUAAGUGCCUUUGUCAGUGUAGAAGGCCGUCUUUUCUUGGUUUUCCUGACUCAUUCCAAUCUGAUGAUACCCCUUGAAGGCGUCAAAGAAACAGAGGAUCUCAUAACCCAUUGCUGCCAUGUUCCGUGCUCUACACGCUUGUUAGCCUCGAGAAGUGACGACCUCUAGAGACCACAACCUCGCUCUUCCCGAAGCUUGGGGGGCUCAGUGAGGAUGGCCAUUUCAGCUCUGCCAGUCCGAGGUCCUAUCCUGUGGAGUCUCCUGAAGCCUCACAUCGGCACGUUGAAUACCAACGUGAAUGCAACCUAUUUAUCACUUCGGCUAAGAACCUCGGAUCGUACGCCGAGGUGACACCGGAAUAAUAAACAAUUACUGAAAGCGGGAAAGGGCGUCUGACACAGGUCAUUGGAAUGGUAUAAAGCUGCUCUGACACCCGCCGUCCGUAUCUGACCACUGCCCUUGCACAGCUUUCCACACUGACCAGUCAGAUCAACCUGAUACGAUGUCCUUGUCAAAUCUCUGAGGACCUGUGUUGACAGUCCCUCUCUCCAAGUUGUACCUUAUAAAUACCCAACACCUCCAUUGAGGAAGGGGAUGGUCAAUUUCUGGUAAAACACUCUAACUUCACCCAUUACUUUCUUGCUAUUCUAUAACCGAACUAACUUAAGUUUCGGAGUUACAACGGGGGAUUCAGACCCCUCUCAUAACUUUAGCAGGUGACUUAGCUGCGGUGACCACCACGUCCAGAACGUUUCUCCAGUUCGAAGGGCUCACCCCAACAAGAUAGAAAUCACCUCUUCAUAUAGCAUUUUCGUUUGAAAGGAUUAUUUCUACACUCGUGGGGUUACACUUGAUUAUCAAUACCAAUGCAAUCACUAGUUUAGAGAGUCAUCACUGCAAGUACGAAGCACAAAUAGGAGAAACUUGUUAAUACCAUUCUUUCUUGUAUCCAUUUGAUUUGCAACUAGAUGGGCAAAAACAUAUCAUGGAACAUUGCUGCUGUAUAGCAUUUUCGUUUGAAAGGACUAUUUCUACACUCGUGGGGUUACACUUGAUUACCAAUACCAAUGCAAUCACUAGUUUAGAGAGUCAUCACUGCAAGUACGAAGCACAAAUAGGAGAAACUUGUUAAAGGAAGAAAUUGAAAUAGGUAAUAAAAGCAGAUAAUAUUAGUAGUCAGUCCUGCUAAGAAAAGAAUACAAGAGGGGACAGGUCAUAGACGGAGGCUUAGCUAAGAAAAAUUCCGUGUUGAUUGAAGGAAAAUCACAUAUGAAAUAUGCUAACAUACCAAUAAGAUGACAUAGUUUUGACAGUAGCCGUAUAGACUAUUAUUCCUGUGUUCUGAAAUACAACAAUAAGCCGUACACACAUAGUUGUGCUCAGAGCACACAUAGUUGUUCUAAUCAUCCUUAAUCCACUUGACUAAGUUGUCGAAAUUCUUGUCAGAACAUCCAUCUUCUUUAAGACUAUUCAUAACCUUUGCUUUUAAAUCCAAGGCCCUCUCCCUGUAGCCUUUAACAGUGACUAGCUGCUCAAUUUUGUUCUCAAGUUCUCCUUGUGCAAUGAUUCCAUUUUCAUCUUUUUCUAAUCCUAAUCCAACCUUCCAAAUAUCACAUAUGUAGCUUUUGUUAGCGAACUGGUCUCCAAAGCAAGGCCAGCAGACAAAAGGGACACCAUUGCUCAUGCCUUCCAUUGUAGAAUUCCAGCCACAGUGGCUGAGGAAGCAGGCAACUGACGGAUGGCUCAGGACCUGUUGUUGAGGUGCCCAACUGGCUAAUCUUCCUCGUCCUUGUAUUCGAUCUCUGAAACCUUUUGGAUAUGCACAAUCUGUUUCUGCAGUUAAAUUACAUCUCACAACCCAAAGGAAUGGCAUAUUGGUGAGUUCAAGUCCCAAAGCCAGUUCUUGGAACUGUGUGUGGUCAAAAACUGUUAAGCUCCCAAAUGCAACAUAAAUGACUGAUUGGACUGGUUGUUUAUCAAGCCACUCCAAGCAAUCCGAGUCUUCGGACCACUAGGAACCAACUGGUUUUCCAAGCCGGUUACUGGCUAGAAGAGGGCCAAUAGGCAACAUUUCUAGGAAUGAGGUGAAGACUGAUGCCUCUAACUCAUUACUUGAGUUGCCGAUAAUCCUAUCAGCCAAUUUAAAUGUUCUGUUAUUUAUUGCCAUAGCAUAAAAAACAAUACCCCGUGUGGUCGCAUCACCGACACUUGCCCAAGCAAAGUGUUCAGAGUCCAUGGCUAAUGUGGCGGGUGAUAACUGAACCAUCUGCUUCUUCAUGAUAGUUCCUGCCACAAAAUUUGCCUUGACAAAUGUCAAAUUUGAUAAUCAUUGAUCUGGCAAAGCUUUUUUUUUUUCGUUUGCUGCAAAAAUUUCCUUGCAUUGAUGAAAACUAAUUCACUUGAUAUGUUUUUCAACUUUCAACUUAUUUUGAAGCAUCCAAAAUUGCACCACCCUGUUCCUAUGAGUUUGUUACUUUGCUUGCAUUUUGAUUUUUACCUUCAUAGGUUCCAAUUCUAAUAAACUUUUUAUUGUUUUACCAUUUUAUGAUUACAAAGAAGUAAGUGCUUAUAUGAAAAUGAUGAAACUAUAAAAGUAUUAUGCUGACAUGAAUCUUACCAGAGUUGUCUAUGAUUCCAUCAUCAAUGAGCUUUGGAAUAUUGAGUUUCAGAGCAUAUAGAGCUGCUGCUACAGGCGAGAAGGAUACUACCCUAACUCCUAUUUUCUUCGCAACCUCCAGUGCCAAACCCAAGAACUCAUCAACAAUAAUGCAUGUGAUUUUGUCACUUUCAGAUUGAUUUAUCUUCUCAAUUAGAGCCUCCAGCUUUGUAGGGAUUACACGAAAAAUCGCCUUCAUUGACUUCGCCGCAUCAUUUCUGUCUUCCCACGAUUCCAGGCCAUCUAAUCUUCCCCAGGUUUCCCCCCUCUCUCCUCUCUUUCUUUGGUUUCCUUUCUUCCUCCCUUCUCCCUUCCUCUCUCUCUCUCUCUCUCUCUCUCUCUCUCUCUUCCUUCGCUAUCCCCAGAAACCCUUUUUCCUGUUUUCCCCGAAGCUCUCCCUCUCUUUCCAUCUUUCUUGUUUUUUGUCUUCUGAUCUCCACCACCCCCUCUCAAUCUCUCCUCCCUCUCUCAGUUAUUUCUCUUCCUUGUUUCUCCUUUCCCUUCAGCCGUUACCUCCUCUCCCGGUUUCUUUUUUCUUGUCCGAAGCCUUCUUGACCGCAGCUCCCUUUUCCUUUCUUGCUUGUUCCAGAUUUUUCCCUCAUCUUUCUACACCUGUCUUGCCACCUAGCCCCUUGCAUGUGUUGUGCAAAAAACCAAGACGCAUGUCUAAUGCUCACCUAAUACACUUAGCUACCAUGUAUGCCUUCCACCUAUUUUGUUUUUUUUUUUUGUUUUUCAAAAAAAAAUUUAAGGUAAACAAAAUAUUAAUUCCUAAUUGAGAUUGCCUUGCAAAAAUUUUAUUUUAUUUGGAAUAAAUUGAAUUUGAAAAGACUAAAAAUAAAUUUUUUCUGAGAAUUUUCCUUUUUUCAGAAAUUUAAUGCAAAAAAUAUUUCAAAAAUGAUGAACCUAAUUCAAUAACAAUAGGUAAUUAUCAUUUUGUGAAUUUUGAUUAACUAAAAAUAAAAUCAAAUUAAAAUCGAAUUAAGAAGAAUUGAAAUUUUGGUGUCUACAAGUAUAAAGAAAACAGUGAACCUUUCAAAUAUAGUGUUGCAAUUUUGUACUUGAAACAAGAAAAAAUAAUGCUGGAUAAGUUAAUUAAGUAGAGUAUAAAGAUAAAUGGAAGAACUGGAAAUUUAGAUGUGAUUAUAUUAAAUGGCAAUUAGCAAAAGUAGUAUAUGUUAGUAUUGUGAACAAAAAUGUAAUUAAAAAUUAGAUGAAAAUUAGAUUUUUGCAUAUGCGCAUGUUGGAGCUGAAGUCCCUGCAUAUUGUUUAAUCAUAACUAAUAGUAUUUUGUUGUAAUAAAAAUAAAAACAUGUUAUGUUCGUAAAUAAAUUUUUUAUCAAAAUAAAAGGAAAAAGAAAAGAAUCAAAGAAAAUUCGUACCAUGACACAAAUGAUGAUUGUGACAAGUGUCAACUAAUGAAAUAUUAGCCUCGUUUGGUAAAUGAUUUUUUUUUUUGGUAUUUGUCUAAAACUUUACUGUAAUUUAAUGUAGAAGUUGUAGGAAAAAUUUUUGAAAUAUGUAAAUUUUUGGGUAUUUUGAAGUGUAUAGUGUAAAAAUUUUGAAAAUUUUUUUGAGAUGACUGUAGUUAAAGUUGUUAAAAAACAUGUAGAAGAUAAACUUGGCCAAAAACUUGUUUGUUAAGCAAAGUCACUACUGGAGUUAAAAAAAUUUUAGGUAUUAACAUGAGAAUUAGUUAGGCAACAAUUGAAAAUUUUGCUUGAAUAUUUGGAAUAAGGAGAAAGAAUGAGAAGGACAAAAAAGUAAAAGAAAGUGGAUUUGCUUAAGGAUUGAUAUUCUAUAUUUUAUAUACUGACAACAUACACACUGUCAGUUUUUGAUAAAUGACAACUAUACAAAAUUUAUAUUUGGAAUCGAACUUUUACACGUACGUCAUAAAUCCAACAGCAACAAUGUAUACAUUGCCUGCGUAUAGAAUUUACUCUUCACUUAACCACCUAUGAAUAUUUUAGUUUCAAUAUGGAUUUAGAUUUAAAUGAGUCAUUCGAAUCCAUCAAAUCAAAACUCGCUAAAUAAAUAAGUCCAAGUAGCAAUGUAUAAGCAUAACAAAUAAUCCAAAAUUGAAUUUAGCUUGAAAAAAAAUACACGUGACAUGCAUUUGGACUAGUAUAUCUACUUUCAAUAAAGAAAAUAUUAAGCCUUUUUUUUACUAUCUAUACAAUAGAUAAAGUUAAAGAUUAGAAGCAUUAUCAUGUAGUGUUUACACACGCUUAAUAUUUUCUAAACUUUCAUUUAUACCUUUAUUAUUAAGAGUAUUUAAUUUUUCUUCAGAUAAAAAAUUAUGAUUUCAAGGGUAGUUGUGUUAAUUAAUUAAUUACACUCCCUCCUGUUUUAAAAUAUGAACUUAAAUUAUGUUAGUAAUUGGCCAAUUGAAAUUAAUUCCCAAAAAGAUCACCAUAUCAUAAAUAUCCUUGACAAAAACUAAUUUUCAUGAAUAAUAUUUUUACAAAAAACCAUAAUUUUGAUUACUUGUGCACACCUAGAAAGUGUCUUACGCACUAAUAUGACAUUAAGUACCAAUUGUUCGUUGACUUUUUUUUUUCUUUACUUGCAAUUGAUCAUUGAUUCAUUUUGCAUACUCUCAAAACCUUAAGGUUAAAAAAAAUUACUCAUAGUUUGAGGAUUGCAUCACAUAUUUCAUGAAUUUUCACAAAAAUUUAUCUACACAAAUUUUACCAUCAAUCAAGUUUAGCAUAAGUCAAUUUAUUUCAUGUACUUAAAAGGCAUUCAGUAAGUUGGUCCCUUAAGGAAUGAGUUUCAAAAUUAUUCAUAGUGAUGCUUAUCAUUUGAUUAAGGUUAAUUGGAAUGAGUUAAUAGAUAUCGUAGGCUCAUUUUGUGAUUGACUAUUAUUUUAAUAAGGAAUCAAUAUUUAUUCACCAAUGUAAUUGAUAUUUUUAAUUAAAAAUAAAAAGUUAACAAAUACUAGAAGAAAUUAAGAGAAUAAAGAAAAUUUAGAAAAAAAAAGAGCAGGAAAAAGAAAAAAAUGUAGACCUAUUUCUAUAUUUUUUGUUAUAAAACACUCUAUGGGUUUCAAAAAAAAAAUCCAUUACUAUUAACUAAUAAAUAAUACUUAGUGAAUGUAGGUGCAUUGUUAUUAUAAUAGAAUACUUAAGAAAGUUUACGUGACAAUAAAUAAUUAGGUGUUUAAAAAGUGUUAAAUCAAGAUGAACUUGAUAUACUUUAAACUCUUUAGAGAAAUAGAUCGAAGACACUCACUUCAUGAUAAUGUGGAACAAAUGGGAUCUAACACUAGAUUAAACUGAGUUAAUGAAUUUUGUACAUGCUAAAUAAAAAUGUCGUCCGAGUUCCCAAAAUGAUAAAGAUGCCACUUUAAAAUAAUUGGGAACGAUGCAUUGGGUCAAGAAGAUCUCAUGGAUGCUAGAACCGAAGACAGGAAGGUGGCAUCUUUAUUCCUUCUCCAUAACAGGCUCUAUUUUUGGGAAGUUCCAAAAAACAAAAAUUGGUGGCCACCACCAAAGUAUUAAAUCUUGAUGGGGUGGGAGGCAGUUUGCCACAAUUGAAUGUGGCCUUGUUUAAAAAAUCCAGACGGGUGCACUGGUGGUUCAGUCUCUUUCGAGUUACCUUUGGACCUCUUCAGGUUUUUCCCCUUCCUCAUAAUAUAGGAAGCUCGACAAAAAAAAAAAAAAAAAAGAUAGGCUCUAUUUUAGGGAAGUUCCAAGAAACAAAACUGUGGGCCCCUUGUUCAUUACCUUUUCUAGCCUGUCUGGGACUUCCUUUAUUACAGAGAAAUUGACAUAAAGAGUGCUUUGCCCAAGCUACAAUUUUCCUUUUUGUCUAUCAUUUAGCCCACUUGUUGUGUUGUCCUAUUCCUGUUACUUCUUCCCACCGUGCAAAGAUGACUCAACUUUGCACCAUAGAAGCAAUUAUUCGUUGGUGGGACGAUUUUUUUUCUUUUUUCUUUUUGUAUUUAAAUGGCAAAAGAAAAAAAAGUAACCUAGGGCUAUUUCUCAAAAUUAGCUUCUAUCACUGAAAUAAAAGGUUAAAGGGAUAAAAACAUGUGAAGUUAUCUUCUCUUUUCAUUGUGUUUUAUUUGUAGUAAAUAAAGUCUAAUGUGAAAGAAUCCAUUGCUUUCUUAGUGAUUAUCAUUGAAUAAAACACUUGGAAUAGCUAAGGGCAUUCUUAGUUCUACGUUGAACUGGUAUAAGAGAUGCCAUAAACUGGAAGCAUAAAGAUACUGCAUGCUGCUGUAUUUCUUUCAGCAUGCAGCAUGUGUGAGAACCCAAAAAUUAUUUUAUAUUUUCUCUUAUUUUUGAAAAAGUUAAUUUAUAUUUUCUUUUAUUUUAAUUUAUAUUUUCUCUUUUCCCUUUUAUAAUUUGGUGCAUGUUAAGUUUCGUAGAGUAUUAUGAUAGUUUGACUGAUUAGUGAGGUGUGUGUAUUAUAUUUGGUGGACAAGAACAGGUGUGGUGCUAGAGAAAUUAUGUGAUUAGAAUUAUUAAGAGUGUAUUAGAAGAAUACAAGAUAAAUUGGUUAUUGAGACGAAAGAGAGACAAAGAGAUAGGAAUGGAAUCAUGUUGUGCCAUGUGUCAAUGCUUGAAACUUCCAUUGACCAAGACUUUUCUCUAGUCUUUCUCUUACAUUUUAACAAAAAAUUUCUUCAUUUUUUCUUGCUCUUCGCUGAAAUUAAGAGAGGGAAAUAGGAGAGAAAAACUUCCACAGUUCAUCUUGAUUUCCUUGCUUGAUUUGUGAAGAAUCCAAAGGCCACCCUUAAUCCACUCCAAUAAACCUUGAGUUAAGCUUGGGAGGUGAGCCUUUGAUGGAGUUAUUUGAGGAAGAGAACUCUUUAGUUGCUUGUCAUUUUGGGAUUUUGAGGUAAAUUUUCUACAUAACAUCUCUUUUUUACUUGUCUCUUGAGAUUUAUGCAAGAUAUGUUAUGAUUGAAGUUAAAGGAAGCAUGUUCAUGGUAAUUUAUGGUUUUGCUAGGGUUUGGUCAAUUUCCAGCUUUAAUGUUCAAUUUUCUAACUUUGAGAUGAAUUUUCAACUUUCAUAAGAGAUGUUUUAGCUUUGAUAUGUGAAUUUUAAGCUUGGUAUGCAAAUUUCCAGCUUUGAAAGGUAAAAUUCCAGCCUUGAUGUAGUUACUUGAAGCUUUAUAUAUAUGGAGUUGUGAUGGAUUUUCUUGCCAAGAAUAUAUUCAUAAGCCUCAUGACAUGUUAGUUAUAAGAUAUAAUACAUUUGCCAUGGAAUUAAGUAAGAAAGUUGGGAAUUUUGAUGGAAAAUUUCUGUUAUGGCUGGCCGAGAGGGAAAGAAGGAAUUUCAGCUUUCUUUUCAGAAAUUUUGUGGUGAUUUUGAUAUACUCUUGUUCAAGACAUUUGUGAAAACCUUGCUCUUCAUAUAUAUGUUGAUUUUGAGCCAAAACAAAGAGGUAUAAGAGGGGAAAAACCUAGUUUUCCAAACUAUUUGCUUGCUAGAAAUUUUCGAAGGAGGCUCUGCACAGUUUUGAGAAAUUUGCUAUAACUUCGUAUAGAAAAGUUAGAAUUGAGUUUCAUUUGUUGCUUUUGAAACUAGACUCAUAGAUCUUCCAACGAUAUAAAAUCCAGGGUUUGGUUCAAUUUCUAUAAAUACCAGCGAAUCGGCAAAAUUCUCUUAAAAAUCAUAACUGUUCUGUUUCUGCACUUAUGAUAGCAGUAAGUUUUAAACUGAAAUUUGACUAAUUUAUGAGCUGAAUUUCAUGAAGGUGUCUUCUAAAGCUUGUGUGUAAGUUUUGUGAUUUUUCGACCUACGGAACUUGAAUUAUACGUUUUCAAAGAAUGUCACUAAAGUUGGGAAUUUUAUCAAAUGGAUUGAGUAGGACUUGAAAAACUUUAAAAAACUUUUUUGGGUUUUAAACCUAACUUUCUUUGGUUAAAUCCUGUAUAUUUUGAUUUGAAAUACUUAGUGUGUUAACCUUAGCAUGCAUGAAUGCUUCACUUGAUCUGAACUCAAUAAGAACUUGAUUUAAAUAAGGAACCGUGGCCUUUUUGGUCUUCUAAUAUUAGGGUUAAACCUGUGGCUUUUGUGGUUGCUAAGUGAAGUUUUGAAUCUUAUAUUUUCUCAUCAUCUCGACUUUAAGUGACUAGACUCUUGAUGUAUUACAUGAUCACAAGACUUAAAAGUGUCCAAGAGGACGAACCAAGGUUGAAGUGAAACGAUUAUGAUCAAGUGGUGAGUGUUCCUUGCAUGUUUGUGCUUUAAAUGACUAAGUGGAAUGUUGUGUAUGUUUGUUUGAGUGUUAAAUGCUUUCCAACGAUUGUUAAAUGGAUUUUCAAUGGACGAGUGUGUACUUUAUCUCACUUGACCUAAGUGAAAGUGGGUUUUCAAUGAUCAACUGAUUGAACAUUACUUGUGCAUGAAUGUAAACCAUCUGGCACUGUACUGUACCGCAUUGGUUGAAUUGGGCCCUUGCCCUUCGUCGCCAGCCUAUUCGAGCCAGAAGCGGAUUCAAUCGAGUAGGUUGAUGACCUUGGGCCACUAUUUUGAUACACUCAAGUAUAACCAUGAAAUCUGGUGGAGUACUGGCCAGUGAAUGAAAUGAUUACUGUUGGAGUUUUAUUUUCAAAUGUUUUCACAUGUCGGAAAUAUAAGGGAGAAAUGGUCGGAGACUGAAUGACUCCAAGUAAGCACGUAUUCUUCUACUGAAUGUGCUAUUGUUAUUUGAAUGCUUCAAAUGUUUUCCUUGGCUGGUUGUUGCUACAUGUAAUAUGCCCGUGAUUUAUUGCUUGAAUGCUUGUUUGGAAACCUUACUGGGCUUUUAGCUUAUUCUUUUAGUUUGUUUUCUUUACAAAAGUGGAUGGUCAGAGCAAAUAAGCGUGAAUUAGGGUGUAUAACCCUCUUGUACUUGUACUUUGGUAGAUAGAAUAUAUUUUGGAUAUUUGAUGUUGUAUCUUACAUUUCAUUUUUGGUUUGUAAUUAAACUUGAAUCAUUGGUUGAAUUAUAAAACUUAAAUGUUAUUUUGGAGGUCUGAACGGUUAUUUUGAUAAUUGAUUGAAGUAAAUGUAGUAAGUCUUGACCAGAGUUGGACAGACGAUCUGCCAAACCCUUGAGUACGCCCUAGGGUAGAAGAGAUGCUAGAGAUGGACGCAUAAAGAUACUGCAUGCAAAUAGGAGUAGAGUGAGGAAGUAAAUAUUGUCUACAAAUACAAAUUUGGCUGUGCUGUAAUGACAAUGAGCCACCCACUUCAGGGGUUAGGAGCCUUCCCAAUUACUACGAUGAGAGUCUUCAAUCAGUGGAGACAAUGACAGACACAAAGGGGUUGGCCAGGGCAGCCAUCUCCAAAUUUUCCAGAAUGCUAUAUAGAGUAUUAGAUUUAAGUUUUAUUUUAAGAUUAGUUAAUAUGUCUACCUCCUUUAAUUUCUCUUUGAAAACAUGUUUUGUAAUACCUCACUCCAGUUUCCUCUUAUAUAUAUAUUAAAUUUCAUUAUAACUUUAAUGUAUUUAGUAUAUCCUUACAUUAGUUAAGGUAAGGAAACAAAUAAUUGAUAAAUAAAAGGAAAUUCAACCAUGUUUAGAAUUAUAUUUAAGUUUUUUUUAAGAUUAGUUAACAUGUCUACCUCCUUUGAUUUCUCUUUGAAAACAUGUCUGGUAAUACCUCACUCUAGUUUCCUUAUAUAUAUAUAUAUAUAUUAAAUUUCAUUAUAACUUUAAUGUAUUUAGUAUAUCCUUACAUUAGUUAAGGUAAGGAAACAAAUAAUUGAUAAAUAAAAGGAAAUUCAACCAUGUUUAGAAUUAUAUUUAUAUGUAAUCAACUUGAUGCAUUAGUCAAAACCCAAUACCCAAUGAUUCAAUCAAGUCAAAAACUAACAUCCAAAGGAACAAGCAAGUAUUGAUCUUUCCUUCAAGAAAAGUCUAAUUUUUUCUCCUUUACAAUCCUAUUAUAUUUUGAUUCACAAUCAUUAAUUUAUGACUUAGAUUUUUUUAUGAUUAUUAAUUUGUCAGCUGUUUUAUCUUAAAUUUGUAUCUUUGAAUUUUUGUGUUAAUUUGUAUAGGUUUAAUGUCUAUUCAUUGAAUUUAGUUAAUAUUUAUGUGGUUCAUGAGUUAAUUUUCGUGUUUUUAAAAACAUUUAGUUGUUAGUUAUCGUUUAUUAAACUUUGGUUUUAAGACUUUGAUUUCAAGUUAGAAUUCAAUAUUUGUUUUGAUAAUUUUUUAUUACUCAUUGUUUGAUCAUUUGCUUCCUUUAAACCAAAAUUCUGCGUGCGUCCCUGAGUGGAGUCAUGACUUAUUGCUAGUGGAAAUUGGAUUGUAAACUUAAUAUGAUGUUAUUAAUAUACAAAGUAGAAACUUUAUUUAAGAUUACGUUUUUUUAUUACGAGUAUUCUUUUGCAUUUAAAUCUUAAGUCAUUUUAGUAGUAACUAAGUUUGUGUUGUAAUAGCUCCAAAAUAAUUGUAUCAUAGUAGAGACAUCUAGAAGGUAAUGUGAGGUAAGUUGGGAAUUUAUCAUAAUAUCGAGGGCAAUGUUAAAGGAAAAAGACAUUUUCUAAAUUUUAGGGGAGACAACUAUAAUUAAAUUUUAAAAAUUUGUAACUGUUUUUCCACCUAAUCUUUAAAAUUUGCAAAGUUGAACGGGCCAAUUGUCAGAUCCCGCAAAGCAUGGCUCCGUCCUUAUCAACAAUACGUAUGCUACAACAAAAAAUGUACACUCUAGUGACAAACGUUUGGCACUUACUUGAAUCAUUCCUAUAUAAAAAGUAUGACGAGACUUGCUAAUAGGGAGUGUAAGAAUGUAAGCAUAGUUUGAUCUUAGAUUUUGUGACUAAAUUACCCUCAUGUCCUUUAAUUAGAGUUAUUAUACGCCUUUUAAUGAGAGUUAUUGCAUUUUAAUCAUGAUACUAAUAAGAAAAAAAUAAAAAAUUUCAAUAAAUUACAUCUCAAAAAUGUUGGUAAUUAAGAUUAAAAUCUACCCAUCUACGACUAUAUUCACCAAUCAUAUCCAUCAUCUCCAAUUAUUGUAUGUGUUAAAAUUAUCUCCAAUUAUUAUAUAAUUAAAUAUGAUAAUUAAAGUUAACUAUAUUUUAUAUACGUAUUGGUUUAGAAGAAAAUUAUGAUUAAUAAGAACACAAAAUGUCAUAAACAAUCAAUGGAAAAAUAAAAUGUUAAAUUGAUGAUUAAAUUCACUACAUUAUAUCAUAUUAAUUAAGAAAACUCCCAAAAAAAAUUAUCGAUAAUUAUAAAAAAUUACAACAUAAAAGGUUUACAACUGCUGAAAUUGAUAAAAAUUUGUUGUAUCCAAAUCAAAAUGUUUUAAUAUAUAUUUUGCUCAAGUUUUGUUGCAUGCACAGUUCUGAGAUAGCAUAGAGAAUUUCCCUUGUUUACUGUCGCAAUCCAAAUAAAAUACGCAACAACUUAAUUUUGAUACGAUAAUAUUCUAUUUUAAGAGUUUUUGUAAUUGUAAUAUGCACGAUAAAGUUUUAAUUGUUUUGUAUAUAAUAAACAUUUCGUACAACUAGCAAUUGUUUAAUUUUGUUUAUUAUAUGGCUUCUUAGUCAACAUUAUACCAACAAUUUAGUUUAAAUAUGAUAAUAUUUCAUUUUCAAAGUUUUAAUAAAUGUAGAAUGCACAAUAGACUUCUAAUUACUUUGUAUACAAUAAAUGCAUUGUACAAUUACCAAUUGCUUAAUUUUAUUUAUUAUAUAGUUUCUCAGUUUAUAUUCAUAACAACAAUCAAAGUUUUACACAGAAAUUUGGUUUAUUAAAGGUUUUAUAUCUUGAAAAGAUGUAUUCACGUGCAAAACACGUGACCUAUUACUAGUAUUAAUAAAGUUUGCCGAGCAACAACAAAUUUUAUUUAACUAACUACUCCCAAAAUAGUUAGUCACCAAGAGAGAUUUAAAACUCUAUUUGAGUGUAGGUCAAGGGAUCAAAUCCUUAGUUUACAUUCUAAUAUUCAGACUUUUCUGAAAAUAUUUCGCUAGCGCGUGCAAAGUCUGGACCGGUGGUGAUUCACUAGGUUUCUCUUGACUUCUUUAAGUCCCCCUCUUUUAAUGUAAAGUAUUCUAGUUGUUUCUCUUGUUCUCUUUAGAUUCCUCCGCUUCUAGCUUAGAGUAUUUUAGUUGUAACAUAGAAUUUAUGGUGUCAAAAAAAGUAAAUAUUUUUUUUUCUUUUUUUUUUACAUCAAACGCAAUCGCCAUUGAACAAAAGCAAAAUGUACGGUAAACUCAUAGCGGUCCCACAUCGGCUGUCCCGGGUUCAUUCGGUGGCCCUCAUGACAGGCCCCUCAUCGACGUCUCCGGCUCUCCCUACCUCACCCUGAUAGCCCAAUCGCCAUGGCGCACCUGGUCUCUAGUCACUAAUUUCAGUCAGCCAGUAACGUGAACCAAAUUCUACUUGGCCUGACAGAGACAUUAACCCGUCCAUUGAUGUUGGGUGCCAAAGGCAUAUACCUUGAGAGGGGAAGAUGGUUGAACAGAGGACUUGCGUUUACUAGGAGUGAUUAUAUUUCAAGAUCUCUCAGCAGAACCUUUCAAUUUAGCAGCUAAAAUUACAGCAAACGUUGAUGAGUAUUCAUGUAUUGUGUUACCAUUCUAUCUCAUAUCCAUUUGACUUGCAACUAGAUGGGCAAAAAAAUAUCAUGGAACAUUGCUGCUGUAUAGUAUUUUUGUUUGAAAGGACUAUUUCUACACUCGUGGGGUUACACAUGAAUACCAAUGCAAUCACUAGUUUAGAGAGUCAUCACUGCAAAGUGCGAAGCACAAAUAGGAGAAACUUGUUAAAGGAAGAAAUUGAAAUAGGAAAUAAAAGCAGAAAAUAAUAGUUAGUCCUGCGAAGAAAAGAAUACAAGAGGGGACAGGUCAGAGACCGAGGCUUAUCAUAAAUUAAAUGUUUGAAAAUAAAAUAUCCAUAAAGAGCCGAUACUUUAAAUAGGUAAUGCGUACUGCAUAUAGUUUAACAUGCAAAUAGUUUAUUAAUUAGUUAGUUAAUUAAUUAGUUAAUUAGUUAAGCAGUUAAUUAGUUUAACAUGCAAAUAGUUUGUUAGUUUCGGACAGACAAUAGCUUUAGUUAAUUAGAUAAAUAGAAAUUAGUUAAUUAGUUAAUAAUUAAUCAAAUAAUUAGUUAAUAGUUAAUUAGUUUAACUAUUAACUAAUUAGAUAAUUAGUUAAACAAUUGUCAAGCAAAUAAUAAUUGUCAAGUAAGAAGAGGGCAAAAUUGGAAGAAAUUUAUUAUCUCACUUCUACAAAAGCUGUCAGAGAGGUUUCUGUAACAAAUUGUUACUGUUCAGGAGAGGUGAAUGCAAUUUCUAAACUUAGAGGGGAAGUCAGUGCAAAUAUCAGAAAUCUCAGGGGAGGUUUUUGCAAUUAUCCCUACCAAAAAUGUACUAACAAGCACAAUUAUUGCACCAAAUCCGACGAAAGUUCAACAGCAUAUUCCCUGUCCCUUAUCCACAUGUCCAAAAUAGUGUUCGAAUAUUGAGCACUUCAAAAUUUAACACCCGUUGAAGUUAAAGGAUGGCAGCAAAAAUACCGAAGGUAAGAAAGACUAAGUGCCUGUUUGAUAACAUAAAAAAGUGUUGAAACUGAAUUCAUUCAGGUAUUCAGAUAUUGUGGGUGUUUAAUAAAUAAAAAUUCACCUGCUGAACUUAUUAAAUGGUGCUGAAUUUGUAUGUAUUUUGUUCAGCACAAGAAUCGUAGUUGAAUGCUUAAUUUGAUAAGAAUCAAGAGAUUUACUUCAACUACUUUAUCUUAUCUACCAAAUAUAUCCCUGUUUGUUAAUUAUAUUCAAAAUCCUUAUCUAAUUAAACAACCUAAUAUUCCCUAUUCAAAAUCCUUAUCUAAUUAAACAAAACAACCUGAUAUUCUCUAUUCAAAAUUUGUUUUUAACAAUAGUAUUUUUUUGCAGUAAUUUUCAUCCACAAACAUUUAUAUUUUGAUAUAUAUAUUUUUUGUGCAGAUAAAUAUUAUUUAUGUGAUGCAGCUUAUCCACACACACGUGACUUUAUGACACUAUAUCGAAAUAUUAGAUAUUGGUUGUCUGAUUUUCGAAAUGUUUUUCGUCCAAGAUCAAAAGAAGAACGCUUUAACCAAGCACAUGCAAGAUUGAGAAAUGUAAUUGAACGUGCUUUUGGAGUAUUAAAAGCUUGUUUUCCCAUUCUCAAAACGAUGAAACCAUACCCUUUUCCCACACAAAGAAACAUUGUCAUUGUAUGCAUUGCUCUUCACAAUUAUUGUCAUUUUCAUACCUAACAAUUUUAAGUUAAUUAAAUCAUAGGUUCUAUUUCCUUUUUGGAUUAAAAAAUAGAAGGGCAAAAUUGUACAAUUUAGCUUAUUAAGCAUUAAGUUAUGAAUAUUUAUCAAACAGUAUAAAUAGAUUCAGCAUUAAGAUUCAGAUAUUUAUAUAUCUCUUUUCAGUGCUUAAAAUUCAACAAAUUAAUUAUUUUAGUAUUCAGAAUUCAGAUUCAGUGUUAUCAAACGAACCUAAGCACUAGUGAGAAACCUACGCCGGUAAUUGGUAUCGCUACUACCACACAUCCUCUGCUGGAACUGGAAGCUGCAAAAUCAGCCGUAAUCAGCCGUCAGCUGCCAAAACCCAUGUUUAAGCUAUAAAGGUUGAUCUUGAGCAAUUUACCAGUUCUUCCAUUUCAUGCAUGAUACAACUACCUCCUGCUCAUAGUAUAGCCUCUUGGUAAAUGCAACAUGAUACAUAGAUAUUACCCAAGUACCCCAAGAGAAUUGAAGUUAGUGAUGACUUUUCAGCAGAUUUCAAGUAAGUGCGUGCAUUUAAGUCCGAAUAAAAAAAGAGCAAAAUUUCUGUUGUGGUACAAAUAGGUUUGGCGGUCAUAUUUCUUUUCUCUUUUUUUUUACCCCGCUGCCUUCCUACCCUCAAUGUUAGACGCAGAAUUCGAAUUCUGAAUCUGACGACAGUUGAAAAGACUUCAAGAGCCCUCCCUGACACUUGAAUAUGAUCAGGUUUGGCAGUCACUUAAUAGCAUCAUUGGAUCUAAACCAUCCCAUAACUUCUAGGACAACUUGAAGGCCAUACGAAUCAUGCUGUCAUUAUUUCUAGGACAACUUGAUGGCCAAAUUCUUAUUAAUUUGAAAUAUAUAGGAUUUCCAAUUUGUGUUGUGGUUCAAAUUAAUAUUUAGUUCCACAACAGAUGUUUCUUACUUUUUUUGAUCUUCCUAAUAUACCCGCACUUAUUAUGAUAAUAGCUUAACUAUAGAGGACAAAAUUGUCGUAUUUAAUAAACAUGGUGAAAUAAUAUAGUCUUACCCUCCUAUCAAAAUAUGAAUUCUUAAUCUUGAAUCUUAACAUGUCAAAUUUGGCUGAAUCAAACUCUACAAGAACCAAUUAAAUCAGCAUAACUGUCCCCGAACAAUGGCAUCAAAAAGAAAGAAAAAAGGUAAUAUUUAAAAUGAUCUUAUCCGAAAUACAAUUUCAUAGAGUCAUUGGAAUAAAAUAAAUAGAGAUACGGGACAAUCCAUGUUGACAAUUGAAAUCCACUUUCUUAGAUGAAGUUGUAAAGAGGCCAGUUCCUCUGAUAUUACCAGUUUAAUCCACCACAAUGAUGCUCCUGUCCAUGGAACAAAUCAACGUAGUUGUUUAUGAUUUCAACUAACGGAUUUCUCCCUUGAGACAAUAAUAAAAUAAUUGGAAACAAAAUGAAUGCUUCCAUAGUUAUGAUCCGAGAAUACAUUUAAAAACAAGAAAAGAAAAGAUGGUACCAUUUAAUAAUAUCCCCAAUAUGUAAGUGAUUGACCAGACAUAUGAUUGUCUAUGUAUGCAGAUAUGUAUUUGCCAAGAGUAAUUGAGUUUAAAUUGCUCGUUGUAUUGGAGAAAUAUUAUUAUCCUUGAGCUACCUAAAUUAUAGCAUUCUUUAUCUAUAUAAUCACGGGUAAUUUAUUAUUAUUUAUGAUAAUUUAACCACAAAUAACUUUCUUUGAGCUUAUUUUCACCGUUGCAGACUAUAGUUCAAGCAAAAGUUUCCAUUUUAACUUAAUGUUUAAAGUACAAGGCUAUAGUUAUUAUCAAUGACAUAUAGUAACGCUUCUCUUCAAAAAAAAAAAAACACAUAGAAGUUCUUUCCAAUUUCAAAAUGGAAACUAGGAGAAAAAUGCCUCACAUAACGUUAUAAUUGCAAUUAUUACCUUGUAGAAAUUUCGAUAGAAGUUUUCUCAAGUUCAUAGUGGAUACAAUUAGCAAUUGCAGCUUAGAGAAGAAAAGAUAAUUGAAGAUUUGUGUAUGUGUUAUUAUGUAAUUCUAAUCUUAGAUCUCAAAAGUUUCGUAACAUAUCCGCACCAGUAAUUAGAUCUGUCAAUCGAGUUUUGUGAGGUAGAUUUUAGUAAGCCCGAACUUGGCUCACAAAUUAAUAGGGUUUCAGGUUUCAAGCCCAAAUUAGAAGGCUUAAGUUUAGCUCAUAUUUUACAUGAGCUUAGGGAUCAAAUCAAACUCCGCCCAAGCCCAUAAUUAAAUACAUAUGCCUUAAUUGGGUCAGGCCCUAUAUAUAUAUAUAUAUAAUUAUAUUUAUAUAUAAGUCUAGAAAGGUUCAAACUCGAUUUAUACUUAAUUUGAGCCUAAUAUUCAGGCUAAAGUUUUAUCCGACCCAAGUAAAUAUUUGGCUCAACAGUCUUUUUUUUUGGACCAGAGACAGUCCUGUCAAUAAUAGGUUAAAAGUUAUUAAAGUUGGAUAUCAUUAUAUAUAAGUUUCCAAUGAUAUUAAAAGUAUUGACUCUAAACAAUUUACAGGACUAACAAUAAGAAAGUUAUGGGUUCACAUAAAUAAUUAUACAGACUUAAGAUCAUCAUGCCUGCCAAAAACAAAACUAUUUGGUCGAAAAUUUUUUUAAUUAGUUCCUAAAACCUAAUAUUUUUCCCCUUUAGAAGGUGGUCGGAAUUGGAGAUUAUAUCUAAAUUGACUCAUUUGUUUUGUGAGAGACAUAAAUUUGCAAUUUAAAUAUGAAAUAUGUUAAAAUUCUUUUGGCAACAUAUUAGGAAUGUUUUGUGCUAUUUCUCUAUGAGAAAGAAAACACAAAUGUUAGUUUAGAUUCAAUCUAAUUAAUUAUAUCCAACUCAAAUAACUUCCAUCUUAUGGCAAUUAUUACUCAAGCCCAAUAAGAAGUAAGAACACUUGCUUAAUUACCAAAAAAUUGUUAAUUUGGUUCUUAAAAUAAUUUUCUUAAUUGUAUACAUGCAUCGCACGUGCUUUUUGUCAGUAUCCUAAAAUAUAUUAGUCUUUAGAUCUAAAUUUUUUUGUUAAAUUUUGAUCAUCAACGUCAUAAUAUAGUACUUUUACGUUCUUUAUUUUCUUUAGCCAGUUACUUUUAAAAAGUUUAUUAAUGGAAAGAGACAGAAAGCAUUCCAAUGUAGUUAACAUAUACCUUAGGAUCAAAAAUUAAAAUCAUGAACCAAACAUUUUUUUAUAAACAAAGCAAUAUAGUUAAGUUAGAAAAAUAAACAUACACGUAAUUUGAAUUCUUUGUAUUCUUUUUAUUGUUAUUUUUGUCAAUAAUGAAGUAUAAAUGAUCCAUCAUAACUUUUUUUUUAACGUGUACAUUCUAACAAAUGAAAUUUCAUAGAUAGAAAUAAUUGGACUUUUUCCAUUUUCCUUUGCUUUUAUUCAUAUUUUUUUAGCACAACCCAAUGCAAAAAAAAGUAACAAGUCUACUUUUUUCAUAUGAGCGCAAUUGUUUUGGUUUCAGUAGUAGUGUUUCUGAUGAUCAUAGAAUUGGAACACGAAUUGUGGCUAAUUAACAAUUUUAAUCUCAAUUUUUAGUAUAUUGGAGUGUUUUGUUUUUUGAAUUGCUAGCUUUUAAUCCAUAACAACUACCAUUUUUGUCAAUUAUUGGAAUGCAAUAAAUCUGUCUAAUUACAAUUGUCACUAUAAAUGAAAUUUACUUAAGUUUAAAGCUUUUCAUUUCAUAACCGCUAUCAUUAUGCACUGGUAUUUCAAUACAAUAAAUAUAUGUAAUCAUUAGAAAACAAGGGUAAUUUGGACAUCACUGAAAACAAUAAGGAUAUUAUUCUUCAUUUUAAGAUUACUCUUACUAUCAUUUUUGUUUUAUCAUUGGAGGUGACUUCUACAAGGGGGGUUGUAUGGAUUUGGUUUGGUCAAUGCAAUACAAAUGAAGCAUUUCUUUGCGAUAACAAUAAUAUUUGUCUUCCCUUGGACUUUAGUGAUCAAAAUUGGGAUUCUAGUGAUUUGGAUGUUAUCUUUGGUAUCAUUUGAAUUGUAUUUCCAACUUUUUGAUUCAUUUGCUAUUCAAUUUAUGUCAUUUUAUGAAUAAUUUUCAGUUUUUUCAGUUUUUUCUUAUUUUGAGGGGUUGAUAUUAAUGAUAGUAACGGUUUGUAUGAUGCCAUUUCAGAUUUUCGUUUUCAAUUGAAUAUUACUAUUUCAAUUAUAAACGUGUCAGAAUUUUUUGUACAUUGUAGGGGUGCAAACGAAUCGAGCCGCUCGCGAGCGGCUCGAUUCGAUCUCGAGCUGCUCGAGCCAGAGUCGAGCUCGAGCUCGAGCUCAAAACAUUAAGCUCGUUAGCUCGCGAGCCGGCUCGCGAGCUCGAGUAUAUAUAUAUUUAUUUUUUUUAUUUUUAUUUUUAAUAGUAAAAUUACAUAAAUAUCCUUAAUAUUUUAUUAUUUAUUAAGAAAAAAUAUUAUUUUAUUAAUUUUUUUAAAAAUAAAAUAAUUAUUUUUUAUUUUUUUCGAGCUCGAGCUUGAAAAUUACCAGCUCGUCGAGCUCGAGCUCGAGUUCGAGUUCGAUGAAAUUAAGUUAAGGUUCGACUCGAUAAGGCCAAAGCUCGACUCGGCUCGGCUCGUUUGCACCCCUAGUACAUUGAAAUUCCAUUUGAUGCAACAAGAAAAAUUCUUCCCCUUCCAAAUUUCAUCGAGUAAUGUUUCUUAAAACAUUUCACUGUUUCUAACUUUAAGGAAAUGUUUCUUUCUUAAUCAAUAUGACAUGAUGCAAUACAGUGACCUUGACAAUCAACCAUUAUUUUUUCUAAACCACCCUCAAUUAAAAUGAUAUGAAACUUUUAACCACAAAUUAUAAAUGGCAUAAUUGAAAUAACAAAAACUAAAUUCACAAUAAUACUUGCACUCCAAAAUACCAAAACUCAUGACACUUUGUAUAGGUUUCUCCAAAUGAGCUUUUGUCAUUGAAAGUAGAGAUUAAGGUAAAAAAGAACAGAUGAAGUUACCUUUUCCUUUCCAUGCGUUUCAUUUGUAGUAAAUCAAAUCUAAUGUGAAAGAAUUUGUUGCUUUUAAUUUUGGGAAACUGUGUUCUAAAUCAACCACAGCAUUGCUGUUGAGCAAAAGUAAAAUGUAAGGUCAAAGUAUAGAGGCCCCUCAUCGACCUAAUCCCUGCUCACCCAGUAAACCAACGCCAUGGUGCACUUCGUCAAUAGUCAUUCAGGAAGCCAGAGGACAUGCAUUUGCUAGGAGUGAUUCUAUUUCAAGAUCUCUCCAUAGAACCUUCCAAUCUAACAACUAAAAUUACAGCAAACAUGGAUGAGCAUUCAUGUUAUGUAGUCUUGGUCUAUUUUGUGUCAAUUUGACUUGCAACUAGAUGGCAAAAACAUCAUGGAACAUUGCUGCUGUAUAGCAUUUUCACUUGGAUGGACUAGUUUUUUAACUCAUUAGUGUUACACUUGAUUACAAAAAUACAAAUCACUAGUUUAUAGAGGUCAUUCAACAAGGGAGAUCCAUAAAGCUACAGCCAUGCCCGUCAUCAAUGACAAUAAUUGGAUAGUUGUACUUUUUAAGGUUGAGCUGCUGCUAUUCAUCUCU